UUAAUAUUGAUAAUUUAUGAUUUUUAUUAAUAGUUCAAUUAAGCAAGAAUCUUUUUCAAACAAAUGAUUAAAAAUUUAGUUUAUCAUUGAUAUAGAUGAUUCAGAAUUCAUGUAAACCAUUAAUUGCAAUAAUCUUUUUGAUUAAAUAAUUGCAAUAAUCAAAAGAAAAAACAGAAAUAAAUGAUUCAAGGGAGAUUUCAUUAAACUGGGUAAGAUAAUGCCCGCUGGCAUUUGAAUCUUACGGUGAAAUUACAUAAUACAAUAACUGGAAGAAGAGAGUAUAAAGAGAGAAAGUGUAUUAAAUAGCUAAUUACAAAGCCAAUGCGUUUCAACGUUAAUUGAAUAACAGUGAAAUUUCGUGUUUGAAUUUUUUUUCACGGCCACAAUGUUCAUGUAAUUGAAGAAAGAAAAGGAAGUUGAAUUCGUGAUUGUUCUCUCUCUCUGGAUGCUAUCGAUAAUUUAUCCAGCACGAAUGAAAUAAAUCGAUCGAUACAAGUUUUAUGUACAAUGGAUGAUUCACGACUGCAAGGCGACAUUUUCGAGGUAAAAAGCCACCAUUAAAAAUCCACUAUGUAGACGCAAUAGUACUUGUAUAUCGGUGGAGGCUCGUCUGCCGACAGUGUGGUGGCAUUUAACCGAUCCAUGCCAUCGUGUUCGCUAGUUCUAUUACGCAACUAGUGCCUUUAAGCCGGCGGCAACGAUUGUGACGACGACGUCGACGACAACGAAGAUGACAGCAGCAACAUCGACCUCAUGUGGUUCAGCUUAGAUUCUUGCGAAAUUUUUAAUUCUCACGUGGAUUUCUCAUUAGAGAUAUAAUUAAGUUCAAUAUAUUUACAAAUUCAAAUCAAUUUUAAUAAGGAUUAACAAUCAAUAUAUUAUUGAAUAUGAUUCAAUUUAUAAGCUAAUUAUUUCUGGCUUGAAUAAAUAAUGAAGUAUAUACUGUGAAUUUUUAUCUAUAAAAGUAUACUACUAUACUAACUGGUAUUAAUGACACAAUAUUAUCUAGAAAAUGAUAAAUUGCCUUGUCAAAGAAUUUAUAUUUUUAAGAGAGAGAAAUUUUUUGGUAUAUGGAGAAGAAUGAUUAUGAACAUGAUUUUAAAAUUUAUAAAUUAUUUAUAAAAGGCUUUAUCUUUAUCUUUAGUAUGAGUGAAUUUUAAGUAUGAAGUUUGGUUGAUAUUUCUUUAAUAGAAUUACUCAAUUUUUGAUAUAUUUUGUGAUAUAAAUUAUACAAGAAAAUGGAAAUAAAAUGUAUAUUAGGAUAUAUUAACAAGUGCUCAAAUAGAAAUAGGAAGACGAGAAGUUCAGUCAUCAUAACUCAAUGCUGAUAUUCAUCGCGACAAUCAUCUUGUUAGAAUUAUUUAUACAAGCAAACAUAACAUUUGAAUGCUUUACAUCUGUAUGAAAUAAGGGAUUACUUGGCAAGAUCGAAGUUUUCGCCUCUUUAUCCAAAGAAGAAGAUUUUCGUGCAGAAUCGAUUAUUCACGAUGAGCCGUAACAAAAAGGGAAAAGUCACGACUCGUGCACCAAUGCACGAGCGCGCAAGAACUCAACUGAUUAUCUAAUAUCGUGCCAUCCAAGUAUAUAUAUUCACCAUGAAGAGGAUCUUCUGAAUGGAGAAAUAACUUAACGAAACCUGAUCAACAGAAAUUUCACUGAAAGUGAAACCGAACGUGACUUUUGCUGAAGAUCAAGAUUCACCUUUUGAUGAAAUGAAAUUGCGUGACCUCCGAAUAUUAUAGCUUCGAUCGACGAUGAAUUUGUAAAAAAUGUAAACGACGGUGAAGAUCCAUGUGUCGUAAUGACAAGCUAAAUCCAAUUACGAGUGAAUUAUGCCGAUACAUCGAAGCUCUCAACCAUUUUUUACUAAUACUUCCAUUAAGAAGAGCUUCGGUCGAUUGUGUAACACAUAACGAGACUUUUGGAA